UGGAACACUUCAGCCAUGGCCGAGUUGUAACGAUUGUAUAUAAGAGGUCUUUCUCGAAGCUUGCCGAAGAUGGUCAAGUUUUAAGCUUGGUACAAUUGUUGUCUGUGUCGGUCAAGUUUCGUUUUGUUGGAAAGAUGUUUUUGGCCAGAAUCAACGCCCUUGCAGAAAAAAAGCCAACCAAAACUACCUUCAGACAAACACGGCUGAAAUUGAGCUGAAUUUGUGCUAUAUGCAGUAUAUCGAUCAAUACAUAGGUAAUGGAGUGUUUGCUAGGCAAGAGCUCUUGAAGGGGCAGUUUAUUCUCGAGUACAGAGGAGAACUAUGUAAACAGCAGUCUGAUGGUGAUGAAAUGUUCAAAUACCAUUUCAGACAUAACAACAAGGAAUACUGCAUCGAUGCCUCAAAAGACACGUGUCUGGCAUGCAUGGUCAACGACUUGGACCGAUACACAAAGCCUAAUUGCAAAAUGGUUAAAGUUGUUGAUGACAGACAUCAACCAAGACUCUGUCUGUAUGAUCAGCAAAAACACUGAAUUGAGGUACAAUUAUGGUGUUGCUGAUGUACCUUGGAGAAAGCGAAAGAUGCUGUUAAAGAUGGUCAUACAGCUGCAGAUACUACAGAGGUCACAGAAACAUCUGAAGAUGCCCUCGGUGAAUCAGCAGAAGUCUUGGAACAUGCUUAUCAUGAUGCUGUAGGGAACAGUGGGACAGUUGCCCCAUCCACAGUUGCCCCAUCCACAGUUGUCUCUGAACAUGCUGAAGGGCCGCCUCAAGAUGCUGUUAAAGAUGGUCAUACAGCUGCAGAUACUACAGAGGUCACAGAAACAUCUGAAGAUGCCCUCGGUGAAUCAGCAGAAGUCUUGGAACAUGCUUAUCAUGAUGCUGUAGAAAUCAGAGGGAUAGUUUACCAUCCACAGUUGUCUCUGAACAUGCUGAAGGGCCGCCUCAAGCAAUGUUCAAGAUUUGACCCAGGAGCAGCUACAGUAUUAUGGUUGAUCAGAGUGAGAGGCAUCUGCGGAAAAUAUUGGAGGAUAUAUUCUCUGCGAGAGACAUAUUGCAUUCAAGCAGGAAGGAAGAAGCAAAAAUGCUGUUAAGACGAUUAUACAGUUGCAGAAACAACAGAGAUCUCAGAACCAUCUCAAGAUGCUCUUGGUGCAUCAACAGAAGAUCAGAAGUGGACCAUGCUUAUCUUGAUGCUACAGGGAACAAUGGUACAGUUGCCCCAUCCACUGUCAUCUCUGAACAUGCUGAAGGGCUGCCUGAAGCCAGGAACUUUCAGCGUUUAACAGAGGAGCAAGGCCAACUCCUAAGAAAAUGUCGAAGUGUUCAACAUUACUAUGAGACGGGAACUGAAGAUGAUAGACUGUAUUAAUUCAAUCAAAAGCCACAAGUGUUUGAAUUCUCUGAAGUGGAAUUAAAUAAAAAACACAUUACACAGUUGGAUAACGACAGAUUGCACACUGAAACAAUAAUAAGUGUUCAAAGUGCUAGUACAUCUUGUACAUAGUGUCAAGGUGUCCAAGCAUGUCUCUGUAAGCCAAUGGUUCACUGCAUAUGAGGUUAAUUUAUAUCUUACAGUGGAUUGCAGCAAAAGGCCAGAGGAAAAUAUGUUUUGAUACUCGUCCGUAUUUUGAAGAAGAAAAAUGGGGCUGAAUGGCAUGUUUAUUUUUUUAUUUGACGGGCGGGCUGGGAUGAGAAUCUAAAAUAUUUUUUCUCUGGCUUAAGGCUUUAUUCUUAGUAUGUAUCUAUUAUUUCAUCAUGAUGAAGUCAUCGUUACUAUUCUACAUUGUUAAAAAUUAGAUUCAAUCAUUUUUAGAUUUCCGGAGGUUUUGAAGAGCAUAUUUUUAACAGCCAAUGGGAUCAUAAGCACAUUUCGAGUGUUACAUGACCCAGCCUUUUUAUCAAAAGUUGCUCAGAGUUCAUUUUUGCGUGUCAGAGUAAAAGGCCUUGGAAACUUCAAAAUGGCUGAAAAGGCUUGUCCAAGCACU